CACGAAGCCGGAAUCGCUAGUAAUCGCAGAUCAGAAUGCUGCGGUGAAUACGUUCCCGGGUCUUGUACACACCGCCCGUCACACCAUGGGAGUCGGAAAUGCCCGAAGUCAGUGGCCCAACCGGAAGGAGGGAGCUGCCGAAGGCAGGUCGGAUGACUGGGGUGAAGUCGUAACAAGGUACC
rnacentral:rRNA from 1 species